rnacentral:rRNA from 1 species
CCUACGGGAGGCAGCAGUGAGGAAUAUUGGUCAAUGGACGCAAGCCUGAACCAGCCACGCCGCGUGCAGGAAGACGGCCCUAUGAGUUGUAAACUGCUUUUGUACGAGGGUAAACGCAGAUACGCGUAUCUGUCUGAAAGUUACUUACGAAUAAGGAAUGGCUAACUCACUGCCAGCAGCCGCGGUAAUACGGAGGAUUCAAGCGUUAUCCGGAUUUAUUGGGUUUAAAGGGUGCGUAGGCGGGAGGAUAAGUUAGAGGGGAAAACCCGGGGCUCAACUUCGGAAUUGCCUUUGAUACUGUUCGGCUAGAGAGUAGUUGAGGUAGGCGGAAUGUCUGGUGUAGCGGUGAAAUGCUUAGAGAUCAUACAGAACACCGAUUGCGAAGGCAGCUUACCAGGCUACUUCUGACGUUGAGGCACGAAAGCGUGGGGAGCGAACAGGAUUAGAUACCCCAGUAGUC